rnacentral:rRNA from 1 species
GACGAACGCUGGCGGCGUGCUUAACACAUGCAAGUCGAACGGAAAGGCCCUGCUUUUGUGGGGUGCUCGAGUGGCGAACGGGUGAGUAACACGUGAGUAACCUGCCCUUGACUUUGGGAUAACUUCAGGAAACUGGGGCUAAUACCGGAUAGGAGCUCCUGCUGCAUGGUGGGGGUUGGAAAGUUUCGGCGGUUGGGGAUGGACUCGCGGCUUAUCAGCUUGUUGGUGGGGUAGUGGCUUACCAAGGCUUUGACGGGUAGCCGGCCUGAGAGGGUGACCGGCCACCUUGGGACCUGGAUAACGCCCCAGAUUCUAACGGGGGGAAGCAUGGGGGAAUAUGCCACAAGGGCGGAAGCCUGAUGCAGCAACGCCGCGUGCGGGAUGACGGCCUUCGGGUUGUAAACCGCUUUCGCCUGUGACGAAGCGUGAGUGACGGUAAUGGGUAAAGAAGCACCGGCUAACUACGUG